UACAUGUGGGGCAAGCGUUGUUCGGAAUUACUGGGCAUAAAGGGUGCGUAGGCGGCAUGUUAAGUCACUGGUGAAAGUUUUCGGCCCAACCGGAAAAUUGCCUGUGAUACUGGCGUGCUUGAGGACGUGAGGGGUGGGGGGAACGAGCAGUGUAGCGGUGAAAUGCGUAGAUAUUGCUCGGAAGGCCAGAGCCGAAGGGGCCCCACUGGUACGUAACUGACGCUGAGGCACGAAAGCGUGGGGAG
rnacentral:rRNA from 1 species